CCGGAAGGGGAGUGAAAUAGAACCUGAAACCGUGUGCUUACAAGUAGUCAGAGCCCGUUAAUGGGUGAUGGCGUGCCUUUUGUAGAAUGAACCGGCGAGUUACGAUUUGAUGCAAGGUUAAGCAGUAAAUGUGGAGCCGUAGCGAAAGCGAGUCUGAAUAGGGCGUUUAGUAUUUGGUCGUAGACCCGAAACCAGGUGAUCUACCCUUGGUCAGGUUGAAGUUCAGGUAACACUGAAUGGAGGACCGAACCGACUUACGUUGAAAAGUGAGCGGAUGAACUGAGGGUAGCGGAGAAAUUCCAAUCGAACCUGGAGAUAGCUGGUUCUCUCCGAAAUAGCUUUAGGGCUAGCCUCAAGUGAUGAUUAUUGGAGGUAGAGCACUGUUUGGACGAGGGGCCCCUCUCGGGUUACCGAAUUCAGACAAACUCCGAAUGCCAAUUAAUUUAACUUGGGAGUCAGAAC
rnacentral:rRNA from 1 species